rnacentral:rRNA from 1 species
GCCNUGCCGCGUGNAGGAAGANUGCCCUAUGGGUUGUAAACUGCUUUUAUACNGGAAGAAACACUCGUACGUGUACGAGCUUGACGGUACUGUAAGAAUAAGGACCGGCUAACUCCGUGCCAGCAGCCGCGGUAAUACGGAGGGUCCGAGCGUUAUCCGGAAUCAUUGGGUUUAAAGGGUCCGCAGGCGGUCAAUUAAGUCAGAGGUGAAAUCCCAUAGCUUAACUAUGGAACUGCCUUUGAUACUGGUUGACUUGAGUCAUAUGGAAGUAGAUAGAAUGUGUAGUGUAGCGGUGAAAUGCAUAGAUAUUACACAGAAUACCGAUUGCGAAGGCAGUCUACUACGUAUGUACUGACGCUCAUGGACGAAAGCGUGGGGAGCGAACAGGAUUAGAUACCCUGGUAGUCCACUGCUGCCUCCCGUA